rnacentral:lncRNA from 1 species
CUGCAUUGCUUGUUGUUGCGCUUCGGAGGCGGCGAUCCCCGAAGGCGAGCUGAAAUACGGCUGGAGCGUUCCCAGGCUACAGUUUGUAGCCGACGAUUGUGGAAGACUAGGAGCCGGAGAGGUGGCCCACCCUCAGGGAGCGCUUGUGCUCGGAGGGCUUCUCAUUUCCCCAAUACCACAUUAAAUCGUCUCAUCUGAGGAGGAUCCACAGAGCUGUCUUCUAUGGUAAUCUGGAGAAACUGGAGUACCUUCUGCUCACGUAUCAUGACACCAAUGAGAGAGACAAGGAGGAAAGCUUACCCUGAAAGAAGCAGAUCCCAGUUCAAAAGUAGCCAUAAGAAGGAAGGAUUCACCACCUCCAGGAAAAGUGUCUUCUCAGAAACAACCAGCUGAGAAGGCUGCAAGUGACGAGAAAGAUUCUGUUUCGAAUAUAGCCACAGAAAUAAAGGAGGGACCAAUAUCUGGGACAGUGUCUUCUCAGAAACAACCAGCUGAGAAGGCUGCAAGUGACGAGAAAGAUUCUGUUUCAAAUAUAGCCACAGAAAUAAAGGAUGGACAACAAUCUGGGAGACAUAAUUUUGCAAAGCAGAUUUAAUGUCAUGUUCAGCCAAGAUAGACAAGAACUUCUCUUCCCCGAAUAAAUCAGCGGGGGACUCUUUGAAGCUGCACAUUCUGAUUCAGCAGGCCUGAGAUUCUACAUUUGUAGUAAGUUCUCAGGUGACACUGAUGCUGCUGGUCUUCGACAUGAACUUUGCAGUAAGAUUAUAGACUUCCAUACAUUGAAAUUGGGAAGAAGAAAGGUUGGAGAGCCAUUAAAGACAUAAGGAGUCAGGGGACAGCAUAAUUUUGCUUUAAUUCUACAGCAUGUUUUCACCAAGGGUGGAAGGAGAAAGAGAUGAAGUAUAGAUUUUACAGACGUCACAUCGUAUUGCUAAAAACAGAUGGAGAAAUGAUUGUAAAAACCCAUAAACGCUGUAGAACGAGAACUAAGGAGACCAUUGAUGUAGCAAUGACUUUCCUCAAGGAAGAGGAUUGUCAGGCAGGAAGGAGGGAAAAUAAGAAGUUAUUUAUGUAAUUUUGGGAUUUCUUCUAAGGAAACCUGAGUUCAGUUGCAUAUUCGAACAUUUUCCUAAAAGAAGGUUUGAUUUUGGCUGCUUUAGGAACCAGUGGAAGCAGGAAGGAGUACUAGAACUGGGACAAGCCACAGUGACUCAUUACUCCUCUUUGUUACUGUUGGGCAUCAGAGAUAUACAUUUUGUUUAUAUUAGUUAUUCAAAUGAGAUAAACAUGAAUAUGCAUAUAUUGGCUUUGCUUUUCAAUUAGCUAACUUUUGGAUAAAAAUAGCAAUUUAAUGAAAAUGCUUUAGAGAAUAACAUGAUAUUUUAAACCAGACUAUUUUAGAAAGAAAAUAAUGGUGAAUUCAUUAAUUGACUUUUAAAAUUCUUAUUUUCAAUGAAUAUUGGAGUGAUUUCCAAAUGUAAAAGGUUAUUCAUAUCUAAUGCUUGUAGCAACUUUAUUUUGUAUAAGUAUGUCAAAUUUAAUCAUUUAUUAUACUUUUUGAUAAGGUUUAUGUAUUAUACUUUGUUGCCAUGAGUGGAUGAAGAACCUUUCUGUAGCCUAAACUAGAGGGCACAACAAAUGUAGGCACAUUAUUACACCACAUGGGUUUGAGAAAUAAAGAAUAUUAUAUAC